rnacentral:rRNA from 1 species
UUGGAGGGCAAGUCUGGUGCCAGCAGCCGCGGUAAUUCCAGCUCCAAUAGCGUAUAUUAAAGUUGUUGCAGUUAAAAAGCUCGUAGUUGAAUUUCGGGAUCAAUUUAUUGGUCGUGCUAUUGUACGUACUGGUAUUAUUGAUUUCUACCUUCUGACAAACCAUGAUGUCAUUAAUUUGGUGUCAUGGGGAAUCAGGACUGUUACUUUGAAAAAAUUAGAGUGUUUAAAGCAGGCUCACGCUUGAGCACAUUAGCAUGGAAUAACGAAAUAGGACGUUUGAUUCUAUUUUGUUGGUUUCUAGGAUCGACGUAAUGAUUAAUAGGGAUAGUUGGGGGCAUUAGUAUUCAAUCGUCAGAGGUGAAAUUCUUGGAUUUAUUGAAGACUAACUACUGCGAAAGCAUUUGCCAAGGAUGUUUUCAUUAAUCAAGAACGAAAGUUAGGGGAUCGAAGACGAUCAGAUACCGUCGUAGUCUUAACCAUAAACUAUGCCGACUAGGGAUCGGAUGAUGUUAAUUUUUUAAUGACUCAUUCGGCGCCUUACGGGAAAC